AAAAGUUUGUUUCCCUUGGUUUCCCUCCACAUUUCCACGUUAUGUUUAGUAAUGGCACAGUAAUGGAGAUCGAUUACUUAUGAAAAUUCCAACACCGAGAAAAAUAGGUUCGCGUGAGACAAGUCUGCACGUUCCAGACAGCAGUGAGAUAGAUUGGCACCAGUCAGGUUGCAUCGGGAGAGGCAAGCAUACUGGAAAUUACAUUUCAUAAAAUUAUUUAAGUUUUUAAGGUUAAAAAUACUGAAACUUUCACUGUACGAAAAUUUGAUGAAAAUAGAGCAGUAUUUAUAUUAUAAUACAUUUACAUAAUUUUAUCCAUGAAGGAAAA